AUGGCCAUGAAAACAGGAAUCCUUCUUUUUAUUGCUUUAUGGGCAGUUGUUGAUGGUCAGACUCUGACAGAAUCUGAACCAGUGGUUAAAAGACCUGGAGAAUCCCACAGACUGACCUGUAUAGCCUCUGGAUUCACAUUCAGCAGCUACGCUAUGGUGUGGGUCAGACAGGCUCCGGGAAAAGGACUGGAGUGGAUUGCUUACAUAGGCACUUUGGGUUAUCCCACCUAUUACUCCCAGUCAGUCCAGGGUAGAUUCACCAUCUCCAGAGAUGAUUCCAGCAGUAAACUCUAUCUACAGAUGAACGGUUUGAAGACUGAAGACACAGCAGUUUAUUACUGUGCCCGAAGAGACACAGUGAGAGAAAGCAGUUGA